rnacentral:rRNA from 1 species
GACGAACGCUGGCGGCGUGCCUAAUACAUGCAAGUAGAACGCUGAAGGAGGAGCUUGCUUCUCUGGAUGAGUUGCGAACGGGUGAGUAACGCGUAGGUAACCUGCCUGGUAGCGGGGGAUAACUAUUGGAAACGAUAGCUAAUACCGCAUAAGAGUAGAUGUUGCAUGACAUUUGCUUAAAAGGUGCAAUUGCAUCACUACCAGAUGGACCUGCGUUGUAUUAGCUAGUUGGUGAGGUAACGGCUCACCAAGGCAACGAUACAUAGCCGACCUGAGAGGGUGAGCGGCCACACUGGGACUGAGACACGGCCCAGACUCCUACGGGAGGCAGCAGUAGGGAAUCUUCGGCAAUGGACGGAAGUCUGACCGAGCAACGCCGCGUGAGUGAAGAAGGUUUUCGGAUCGUAAAGCUCUGUUGUAAGAGAAGAACGAGUGUGAGAGUGGAAAGUUCACACUGUGACGGUAUCUUACCAGAAAGGGACGGCUAACUACGUG